UGUGCCUAGUCACCAAAACACAAUUCUAUCCGGUAACAAGAGGCCUGAUGCUCUUGGAUUGGAUGUGCCCUAUAUUCAAUACUUCCAGAUUUUGAGGCAAGGCAAAGGUUAAAAGGAAAAGAAACAAGUUUUCCUCUGCUUAGCAGCUCACUUAAAGGACAGUUAUAAAAUAACGCUGUCCGAAAAGCCAAGACCAAAGGAACAGGCUCCAGACACCUCUCCCUCUUCCAGAGCAAGGUUGAAAGAAAAAAAAAGGAGAAAGACAAAUUACUUUACUGUUACUCUCCUUUCUCUAGCUUUUUUUUGUUUUUUGUUUUUGUUUUUGUUUUUUUUUGAGACAGAGUCUCACUCUGUUGCCCAGGCUGGAGUGCAAUGAAUGGGAUGAUCUUGGCUCACUGCAACCUCCGCCUCCCGGGUCCAAGCGAUUCUCCUGCCUCAGCCUCCCAAGUAGCUGGGAUUACAGGCAUGUGCCACCAUG
rnacentral:lncRNA from 10 species